AGAGUGCCCCGGCGUCUUUCUAGCCUCCGCCUCCAGGCGGGUGAGGAGGUGACACCUGAGAAUUCCUCCCUCUCACCCCUGACCCUGCCGGAAAGCGAAACUGAGAUGCGGGCAUUGGGCCCUGGGAAGCGUGGGGAAGGGGAAAGGAGAAAGCCAGGUUAACUACGUCAGGAUUAAUGUGUUCCACUUCUGCUGCCUGAGAAAAUGGAGAAAUUAAGUCCUUUCCAUGGAUCAUUCCUUCUGUAAACAGAGAUCACAAAGCAAGAGCUUCAGCAUCCUCGUGAAAAAGACAUUUUGUUCUGGGUGUCAUCAUCUCCUUCCACUACAGCUUGCAAUUGGAACAAGCUUCACAUCCUGGGGGUGCUGCCUAUCUCUGUCUUGAUUUCUGUCUGUCUAUUCCUCCCAUUGACAGGAAUGUCGUUUGUAUCCUCCACGCAGCAGUUUGCAGAAAUCCAGCAAGGUUUAUGGUUUAUGUUGCCCAGCAUGUAUAAACACAACGCUCUCAAAUGCUUUUUAAAAAUCUAUGAAUUUGUUAGAUGUCUUCACAUCCUGGUCCUCCUACCCCAAUUCUCAAACACAAAGUACUCUGUUGCCCUAUUAUAGUCCUGCGAUAGUUCUGGCUAGGAUUAGGUUGACGGUCUAAGCCCCAAGAAAGGCCUGGCAUUUUCAUAGCAGGCUUUCCCCAGUGCUUUGAGUCUUCCUCUCUCACUCCCUUUUUCUUUUUCCCUCGGAGGAGGGGGUGUUGGGGGUGGGAGGUGAUUAGUAAAUGUUUCAGGUAAUC
rnacentral:lncRNA from 1 species